rnacentral:rRNA from 1 species
UACGAAGGGGGCUAGCGUUGCUCGGAAUCACUGGGCGUAAAGGGUGCGUAGGCGGGUUUUUAAGUCAGGGGUGAAAUCCUGGAGCUCAACUCCAGAACUGCCUUUGAUACUGAAGAUCUUGAGUCCGGGAGAGGUGAGUGGAACUGCGAGUGUAGAGGUGAAGUUCGUAGAUAUUCGCAAGAACACCAGUGGCGAAGGCGGCUCACUGGCCCGGUACUGACGCUGAGGCACGAAAGCGUGGGGAGCAAACAGG